UACGUAGGUGGCAAGCGUUUGUCCGGAAUUAUUGGGCGUAAAGAGCGUGUAGGCGGCCAGGUAGGUCUGCUGUGAAAACUCGAGGCUCAACCUCCGAGAUGUCGGCGGAAACCAUCUGGCUAGAGUCCGGAAGAGGAAAGUGGAAUUCCUGGUGUAGCGGUGAAAUGCGCAGAUAUCAGGAGGAACACCAAUAGCGAAGGCAGCUCGCUGGGACGUUACUGACGCUGAGGAGCGAAAGCAUGGGGAGCGAACAGG
rnacentral:rRNA from 1 species